UUCUUCAAGGGAAGCCUGGCUAC
rnacentral:piRNA from 1 species